rnacentral:snoRNA from 1 species
GGUUCAAUGCCACAUCGUCGAUAGCUCAAGAGCGGUGACCGACGAUGCUAUGAUAGAACCAAUAACAAUUUUUUUGACAUCUUCAUAGGAAUCUAUUUAUCUUUUUUCUAUAGAUUUACAGAGCCGCUUUGUGUGAUUACACUU